rnacentral:lncRNA from 1 species
GUAAAAUCUCAGUAAAAAUUAUCAUAUUACAAAAUAUUACAAUUUAAACUUUGUUAACAUUUUUUUUAAAACUAAUAUACCCAAGUGGAAAAGGCUCUUAUUUUAAGAUAUUCUCCUGCAAGUUUUGUAACAUUUUGCUUACUUCUGUUUUAAUGCCUUCCAUUCUUGCAAUAGUUUCAAUGAAUAUAUGUCUAAUGUUUAUGGUGUAAUAUCUUAUUUUAUAAUACUAAAUUUUAAAUUUCUGCACAAAAGUUUUGAAAGACAUUUUUUUUUAAUGUUUAUUUUUGUUUUUGGACAUAGCAGUUGAUUUAAUAUCUUCUUCCAAAAAAAACUUAUCAAUGUACCAACUAAUCCAAUUAUAUAUGGUAGUAUCGAGGUUGACUCUUUUAUUAGAUGUUUGCCAUUGAACAGAAUUCAUGGAUGUACCUGCUAUAUCUAAUCACCAAUUGAAAUCAUAUGAAAUUGCCUCAAAUGUGUCCUCCAAAUUAGAAAAAUUAUAAUUUAAUAUACAAACUAUACACUAACAUUAUCAUUUAUACAAACGUAUUACUAAUUGUUUUAUUUUUGACAACACAUUUUGUAUACACUUAACA